rnacentral:tRNA from 1 species
UAAAACAAAUUAACCUUAAUUUGAAAUUAAGAAACGGAUGGUCUCCAUGUUU